AGACGCUUGAAGACAAGAGAUUUUGCUUUCAUGUUCUAGAAUGUGGUUCUUUGUUUCAGGUGAGAAAGAUGAAGCUAUAGUGGAGAUUACAGUAAAGAAGUAUAAGUAAUUAAGUUGUAAGGAAAAAUAUACCCCACUCUACUGAUGUAAAUUUGGAAUAUUUUGAGCAACACUGUUCUUCUGACACCUCUGCAAAGCCUUACAACGCACCUGCUAGAAUGAAGCUGGCACCAAGCCGCACAUACUGACAUGACCCUUUCCCAUUCACAUUCAGCCAGCCAGCCCGCAGGACAGGGUCGGCUGUGCAGCUGCAGAAGUCCUUUUCCAGCCAACGUGCCCACGUUGUGGCUUCUGCCACAGAACCACUGUCUCUGUGGAAAGAACAAUCAUCCUUGUUCAUGCUUUUGGAGAUGCUUCUUAAAUAUGUGUCAAAACCGAAUUGCUCAGGACACUGAACAGCCAUCAAGUCAGGAUGUUGUCAGUGAUGUGGGAACAAUGGCAACUUUGAAAUCCCAAGCGAAAAAAAUGCUGUGUGGCUGAGAGGCUCGUAUUAACUUUGUAGGGGGGCAGAACUCCCGGCUCUUUCUACAAGCCUGCUGCUGUGUUGCCAUCAGCAUCUUGAUCAGCACAGGGACAUCCUGGCCUGCUCAGCACAGCCACCGGGGCUGUGGGUGAAGACAUGGUGUGAAGCUCUCUGCCAGGCUGGCUUUGCAGGGUGCGUGGUAUUUUCCUGUCAGCUGGAUGUGAUUGUUUGCAUGGAGCCUUUGCUGAGAAGCCUUGGGAGGGAGAGAACAGAACUGAAAUGCACUUUUCAUCAACUCUGCACAUUCAUAUACAUCUGUGUACUCAGAAAAAUACCCAAUGGUUUAUGCUGCCAACAAAAACAGCUGUAUAUAAUGAGUAGCCAGUCCUUCCUAUAUACUACCCCAAUAUACUGCUCCCACAUGACCUACAGCAUAAAAAAUAUUUGUAGAAAGGACUUGGCAAAUAAUUUUCAGAAGUUAAUACAUCUGAAAAAAGGUAUGACAAAAUUUAACAAAACAAAAAUUGAAAUUAAUUAUUGGAUUUUACUUGAGGAAUUCUCUCCUUCAGAAAUUUAAGUUCACUGCUGUUCUAUUUUCCAAUCUUAUAUAUCAAUAGUAUAAUUCAUAAAUAGAGAUUUGAUUAUUCUGGUAUUCUUUUUUUAUCAUCUGUGGAAGAGUGGGUUUCAUUUUUAUGUUAUUUCUAGUGUAGAAGGAAUUUAUAUGUAUGUCUCUGGCUGUAUGUGUAUGCUCACAGAUAGUUAUUUUCCUUAUUUACAUUUACAAGAGAACUCUUCACAAUGUCUUUUGAAAGGCACUCAAAUUCUAUUAUUGCCUGUUUUGUUAGCUUAUUUAUGUACUGAAAUAGUUGAAGGAGGGAGCAGAUUUUCUUUAAAGAGACCGUACUUCUUUGAACAGUUGGCACUUUCUCAGUGUUGCACUGUGCUGCCCUUAAUAACUUCUCAAUAGUUUCCCACUAAAAUGUUUGUGAUUAUUAUAAAUGAAUGAUUUAUUACAGGUUGCAGUUACUUACUAUGGUCAGGUAUUGCAUGCAAUAUAUCUUUAGUUGACUGAAGCAAUGUAUGCUGACACAAACUUUAUCCAAGUACACAUAUCUGUCUGACCUUUUUAUAACACAAAUCAAGGUAACAUUAGAAGCAAGAUUCAGAGAUUUAGGGAAAAAAAAAAUAAGAAAGGAAUGGUAAAAGGUGGUAUGGAUUAUUUAAAACAAAAUGGGUUAUUUAAAACAAACAAACAAAUAUAUCCUGCCAGCACGAUGCUUCGAGGAGCAUGAUUAAUUUUUUUCUCUAAAAAGUUGCGAAAUAGUUUUGUCUGAUUUGAAGCAGCAUAUUUAGAAAUGCCUGGAUUUUACCUUGUGCUUCAGGUACCUUCUGUACCUGACUUACGGAUGAAGUGGGAAUCACUCAACUUUACCCACUAGGAGUUAUUGUAAUUAGUCAUUGACAAUUUCUUUGUCCUCAGGCUUAAAAAAUAGAUAUUGGGAUGGUGCCUCCCACUCACUUACUUUGGCCAGUGGUUACUUAAGGCCCAGUGACUCUGUUUCUUGCUGUAUGUGUGCUGUAAGUUAGUAUCAUGAAAGGGUCUUGAUUAUCUGUCAGCAGUUCAUGCAGCUAUUCCUUCUGAACCUUCAAUCAACAUAAAGCAUGAUCUAAGUAUAAUGGUUUGUGGUGAGUUUUUUGUUAUAUUUUGUUUUCAGUAAUUUAGGAUUAGGUCAGAUUCUGUGAAAGAUGAUGUACAAAUUAGACCAAAAAAUCAGUUUCUAAUUUUUGACAGGAAAAGACUACUUCACCACCGACAAUUUUGUUUCAUAUUAUUUUCACUUGACUAUAUCGUCCAAUAUCUGACACAUCAUAUUGGAUUUUCAGAUUUAGCUCAAGUUAGCUCCACUUUGAGAAUCUGUCCAAAGCUCCCUGCAUUUGCUCUUAAUCUCUAGGGAUACUUUAGGGAAUUCACGAUUCAGAUGGCUCUGUUCCUGACCUAUUAUUAUUAUUUGUGUAUCUUGUUUUACCUUUUUGAAAAUAGCCGUUGGCUAAAGCUUUUAGGCACAUCCUUCAGUGCUAAAAUAGCCUGAAGAUUUCAAGCAUUGCUAAAUUGCAUAGAUGUUGAGAUGAACAGGGAUUAGUAUAGUUCAGCCUUGACUGUAUAGGUCGAUGAAGAUUAUGUAUUGGUAGAGUAACAAACCAUAAAUAUACAUCCUUUGGUCAAAUCACAAUGCAGCUUAUGUAGACAACAACUCAGCAGUACUUUUUCCCAUUAGUAAACCACUGACCUUAGCCUCACUCUUAUGGUACCACCAUUCUCCAGUGUGGUAACGUAAUUCUAACUGGUACACAGCAUCUAUGCAGUACUGUGACUUUACCAAAUGAAUGUACAAGCAUUUGUGUCUUGGAAUUCUUGGCCACUCCGCUUUCUAAAAGUAUCAAUAACUUUAUCUAUGAUAGCAGAUAGACAAUGAAUAUCUGUACUUAAGUAGUUGGACCAAAAAAUGCUGCGUCUAUUUCUAUAAAUCUCUAAAGUACACUGUUAAGUAGUUGCUACUAUAGUGUAAUCCUCUUGUAAUUACCUGUAGUGCUUGCUGAAGGAAUGCAAAUUUUGCAGUUUAUAAGCAAAAUAAAAAACAGAGUGAGUACAGAUCAAUAGCUAAGAUGUAGAGACCUGAAUUCUGAAGUUGAUGCCGUGUACUGAUGCAUGAUCUCUCCCAUACUGCUCCAUGAAAUAUGCAUCUAUCUGGUUGCUGCUCUGCAGGAUGUUUUAAGCAUUAUAUGUCAGUAAAGCUUGUUGUUUGGAAUGUGUUUCAUAUCAACAGCAGCUGUAAUUUUGUUCAUUUUUCAGCAGUAGUCAGGAUUUAGGAACAUUAUCUCCUUUAGAGUUGGAUAACAAAUCCAUAGGGAGAAGGCAUUUUUACCUAUCUCAGAAGAUUGUUAUAUCUAGAUUUAUUACUGUCUGCAAAGAAAUGUGAGAUCUUGCAGGAGCAUCCUCUAGAAAUUUGAAUUUUCAGAACAUGUUUUGGCUAUUUUUCCACUUCUGAAUCAAUGCCCAAACCUUUCUCCUUCUUUUGAGAGUCUGUUUUCAUUGCUGCACCUGUCAAUCUCUUUGUUUUCCCUCAAAAUAAUGUGAUAAACUAAGAAAUCUUAAACCUUUCAGUUGCUGAAGUAUCUUCUUGGACAUGAAACUUUGCAAUGCCUGUUACUGCUUGGGUUAAGAAGAGGGGCAUUGUUGCUUAGAGAGCUCCCAUAAAUACUGUGUUGAAGCAUCUCAUAAAGAAAAAAUGCAUACUGGGAAAAAAUCAACAGUGAUUCAUUGAUUUCUCAAUACACUUCUGGACUGUCUGUUUUCAGCUUCUAAAUGAAUCAAUAUACAGUAAAGUUCCAAUCAUGAAGAAUAGCUACUGGUAUGCAGCAGCACAUCUUGUGGUUAUGACAAGGGAUGGAAGUUGAAUUGAGCUGUGUUCCUGUUGCUCAUUAAGCCAUGGACUCACUCCAUGGUCUUAGGAAAGCCACUUUGCUUCUUUGGCUCCUCAAUUCCUUCGUCCACCUUUUCUAGCUAAGACUGUGUGACCGAGUUAUCAGGGACUGUCUUUUGUCUUGUGACCUUUUGUCCUGCAGUGCCCAACUGAAUAGUCCACUGGACCCUUUGUAUCUGUGUAGAUCCCUCUUAUUGUGUCCAUUGCUGCUGUCCUCUAUGGGAGUUUCUAAGAUCAGAACACACCACAUAGCUUAGUGUUGAUGGGAUGUAUGUGGUCACCAGUCUCCUUCUUCCUGUAGCUAUUUCAGUCUCUUGAGUUCAGCUUUUGAUGAAAAGUAAGUUUAUCAAGUGUCUUUGUAGUCUAAAUUUUCCUCCUACAUUGAGGCUAAAUACAGCCUCAAACUAAUUAGUUUAGAUGUUUGGGUAGCUUAAGCCUAACCAUUCCCCUGAGUACAUCCCAUUUUGAAAUCAAUUUCAUAUGCAUAAAAGAUGUGAAAUGCUGUUGUGCAUCACUAGUUAUGUUGGUGGCAGUCCAACUGGAUGGCACUGGGGUGAAAUGGAUCAGCUUUGUGGCACUGCUUUAGGUUAGAGUUGUGGGUGAGCUCUGGCUACACCAUGUGGCUUUUGUAGUAUCUGCUAUAAAUAAACAACGAGCAGAGACGAUUUGUAGGUGGUAUUAGACAUCAGUUUUCCUGUAAUUGGAAUCCUGGAAAUGUUUACAACAGUGCUGCAAACACUUAUAUUGAAGAAUAGCCAGCUUUGCUGGAGAGUCUUCUCAUCUGCAGUACAUGCAGCAGAUAUUUCCCAGCUGGGUCAUGGUUAGGAAAAAAAUGUGACAUAGAAGUAGGGUAGUAUGUUCACUUUCACUAUUACGUUGGUUGCAAUAUAGAGGAGCAGGAGGGAAAAACAAAUUGCUUGGUGGAGUUAUCAGGCAGAUUAAUUCCUUGGCUUGACCACUUUUGCUGAAGUGCUUUCGCAGUGUUUGAAAAGCUACAGUCUGUGGUGAAUAAGUGAAAGGUCUUUGCAAAGAAGUAAUCAAACAAAAAGCCCACAGUUGAUCAGUUCUUGGUCACAUUUCAAACAAUCAAAAACACAGAGUGUAGGUUUUCAUCUGAUCUGGCAGUGCCUGGGUUUGCCCUGGCCAAUCUCUCUGAAACAAACAGCAGAAUCAAGGCCAGCAGUGAUCAACAGGAAAACUACAACUUUUAAAGAAAUAAAGAAUCCUGUAUAUUAUGUGUGGAGAGCACCGUUUGCCUUUUGGUAGACAAAUGCAUUGAGGGAUUACUUUCACCUGUAUACCACUGUACUGCCACUCAUUUUGCUAUUAAAUUGCUUGGAGAAGAACUUUCAGGUGUGUGAAUAGACUUCAUGAUGGAAUCCUAGAUAUUUCCAAGCUCAGAUACAUAUUUAUUUACCAAGAUUGGCAGUAGUAUGUAGCUUUGUGCAGACACAGAGGACCUGGUGAUCAAAACCUAGGUGUUGUGGUUUCUUGUGAGCAUUUUCCAGCAUGUUUUAUUGAUGUGCGUACUUUUCAAUGUACUCAGUAUUUUUCUUGGGAAUAAACAGAAAACAAAAACAAACAAACAAACAAACAAAAACCUGCUAUGAGUGUCAGUUGUCUACAAAAAGACAUAACUAAUUAGUUGACCACUCAGCCCCGGAACGUAAUGCAGUUCCCCAGAGCUUGCAUUUCAGUAUUGUGCUCAAGCAUUUCAUUCUGUGCAUUCACAUAUCUUCCCUUCUGCUGCUGCAAAGGUGCAACCUUAUUAAAAAUACACUUGAUGCUCCUGGAUACCUCAGUGGGAUUUUGUGUAGAAGAGUGAGUCAAAACCUUCACCUCAAGUGCUGGGAGACAGGUCUACCUCUUCAUAAAAUUUAAAGCUGGCAGAGACAAUGAAAAUGUUUAUUCCAACCAAGACUAGUACAUAACGCACAGUUUCUUAUGACCUUUCUAGUAUCUUUGGCUAAGAAGUUCUUGAUCUCAGAAAAACUCCAGCAGACAUCGGGUAUAAACCUUUUCCUUUGUAGUUGGUUCCAGCAGUUAGUCACCCUUUUCAUUUGAAGUGGCCUCCACCACUACUUACCCAUUUGUUUAGUUACAGUUUGUUUUGCUUUUCUGCAAGUAAGGAGGGUGAGUUGUUUUUGUUUUGUUUUGUUUUGCUGGCUUUUUUGUUUGUUUGAUUGCUUUUAAUUACACAGUUGUUGCUUUUUCUAUGGAAAGAAUAAUAGAAUUGAUUUAUAUUUAUGUAAUUUUUAAACAGGUUUUUUCCCUCCAGAAAUUCCGUUUUGUCAGCUGAAAAAGCAGAAUGAUUUUUUCAAACUAUUAACAAGCUAUAAAAUACUGGCUUAUGUUGCACUAUUGAAAUUUAGGCUCUUCUCACUGUCCUCCCUGGAUUUUGGUAAAAGAGAUGUUUUAGACAGAAUAGCAAACUAGAUGCUCUAAAGCUUCUUUUAGGAAGACGUUCUCAAGUUGCACUUAAACCUUUUCAAUCAUUUUUGUUCUUCAUGAUAUAAUCUUUGAUUCUGCAGAAUUUUUCAUAUACUUAUUUCGUAUGUAUAUGAAGAAAGAAGUAAAACAAAGCCUGCCUGGAAACAUUCCAACAGAGAACUGCUAUAAGAUGUCUGUCCUGAGGCUCUAGGGUACAAAUUACUGCUGCACACCCUAGAAGCACUAGGGGCAAGAUGAUUGCUAUGGAAGGCCCUAAUGGGACACUCGUCCAGAUUUCCUAAACUGUCUGGCUGAACCAGGAUUUUGGCUAGCCCUUCUAACUAUUGGCUCUUAACAAAUUACUUGAGGUAGUUUGUUGAUUUGGUUAUUUAACUGGUUGGGGCAGGAAUACUGGAAAAUGUAAUGCAAGGGGAAGAACGACAGCACAGCUGUGCAAACAACACUAAGAUGUUCCUCAUGGCCCGUCCUCACUGAUUAAUAUCCCCUCCUCUUCACAGUUAGGGAACGUAGUAAGUUGUACACGUAUAAUGUGCAGAAAUAUAUAUAGUUCUGAUGUGGCUUAUUGUGAGCAUAAUUUAUUAAAGAUAAUUGAAGAGCACACUGAGGCUUGCUCUGUUACAGUCUUCAGGGUAUCAGCAGUAGUUUGAGGGCCCAAGAGGAUUUUAAACUAUGAUCAGCAUGACACAUGCCAGUAGGUGUAUCUUAAACAGAAGAACUGCCAUAGGGCUAUUUUUAGUGUGGCUAUCGGAUGGCUUAGGAUGGAAAAUUGCAGAGCUCUAUUUCAAAAGAUUCUAUGAAGCCAGAGAGGAUGAUCUCAAAAUAUAAGCAGUAUUAAGACUGUAACAAGCGUGAAUACAUUGUCAGAAAGAUGAAGGACAAUUCUUGAUAGUCAUGCAGGAGUGGGAAAGGGGAAGGGGAAGAUACUUUCCCCAGACUGUGGUAAUACAGUUUUGUUUCAGAGUUUGUUUGUUUGUUUUCCUUAUUGUUCACGGGGCUCAGUCCUAAUACCUUCCUAUUUACACCUGCACCAUGUAAUUCCCUCCAAGUUUAAAGCCUUUUCUGUACCAAGUUGGUAUGUUACUGUUGCAUAGAGUUCAAAGCUAGCAGCUGUAUAUUUUUAUAAUCAUUUAUACAGUUAAUGGCAAUCCUUGCACAGGAUUAUCUUCACUAACUGUGCAAAUAAAUGGAUGCCAUUUUAUUCUUCUUGUCUUAUGCAUAUUUUGAUCAGUAAAACAGGUUACUACUACUAAUGUAUGUGUAAGGCAAAAAAAAAGUCAGUAGAAGGUGCAUAAGAUAACUGAGACAUUCACUUGAAAAAUAGCAUUCAUAUACAAUAUACAAAUGCAUAGACACGUUGUGUAACUACACUGUAUUACAUGCUACUGAAGAAGUGUAUGCUGAAGAUUGUAAUGGGAGAACUAACUAUGCUUCAGAGCAUGACAUGUGGCUCCACGUUCUUAAUUUUAGUAGUAUCUAAUCUCUCUGUGGCAGUAAUGUCCCAGCUCGGUUUCCACAGUCAGGUGUAACUUCUUGUUAAUGUGUGGGCUGACUACAUGAGAGUAGGAAAAAACUAAAGAGGCUUAUUUGAAAUUCUUUCCCAAACUCAUGUAAAAGCACAUGUGAGGAUUCUUGCUUAGAAUUAAGAAAAAUGUCAGGUAAUUUGAGGGUAGAAAUUAAGUACUCCCUUGAUUCAUCAUUGCUGUGUAAUUGGCUGUGUUUUCUAGAAAAUGUUGUUGGUUUUCUGAGAUUUUUCUUCCAGUCUUGGAUGUGGAGAAAAAAUAUUGUUCCUUCUUAUUUGAAGACAUGGCCUUAAUAACUGAGAGACUGCUUAAGUGUAGUUCUGCAUAGAAGUUUAAUAGCUCAGCUGCAAUUCCUACAGUUUGCAGGCAGCAGUGUGGAAGGUUGCAGGCGGGUUAGGCUGUGGAGCAUCUGAACUCUAGUUCAUUAUAAAUAUUAUAUUAGUCAGAGCAUUAAGAGGGGUGAAAGGAAUGCAACUUUUUUUCCUAGCUGAGUUCUCUCUGAAAAUUGUACAUUUUGAAAGAUGGUAACGUGAUCUCCAUUUCCUGUCCAAAAUCUUUUACUGUGCUUCCUUGCUGAAAUCUCUGGCUCUUUCCUGUUUCUCAGUGUGCUGUGCACAGCGACUGUAUUUAUAAAACCAUGGUCUCUUACCAUACCCAUAGCAGUGGUCAACGUGUACUGAUGAGUACUAAGCGAAAAGCUUCUGUGCUAUGUUAUUCAUGGCGUGUGCGUAAGUAUAAAAACAAUUUUACUUGAUGAAUUUGAGAUGACAAAGAAUUUCUGAUCAUGUACUGAGACAGGAGGUGUACUGUUUCAUAGGAAUUAAAUUGAAUUUGAAAGGAGUAAGUCCUUCAUUGUAUUGUUUACUGUUCGAACUACAAUUCCUGCGUAUUUUGUGCAAUUUAGACACUGUAUUCCAUCUGGAUCAAGUCAGUCUCUAUAGUCACUAUAACUUGGAGUCACAGCUAAUCUGGCAUCCUCUUUUAACAGCUGUUAAAAAGAGUAGUAUAUAUAAAAAAAAGCUCACUGGUGGUAUAUGCAAAUGUUGUUUAUUAAAUACUGUAUAGUAACAGUAAAAUGAGUAAAAUAGUGAGUGGAAUUGUUACAAUAAGAAAAGACAAUCAGCCAAGAGGUGUUUAAGUAUUAAACUGAAGCCUUGAAGAGACUGCAGUAAGCAAAGUAAAAGACUCCUAUAUGAAUACAAACAUAAGCACAAGGGGAGUUAUUCCUCACUGCUUUAGAACCACUUGCCUUACCGCUACAUAUACAUGAGGGCUUUCUCUAAGAGGAUUUACAGUCAGUCAAGCUGAUGUUUUUACUCCGAGUUGAAGGAGCUAGGCUUGCUCUCAACAAAUUAAGUUAUGAAAAUAAGGUAAAUACAUUGGGCCUGUCAUUUAGGGGAACCAGGUGCAAGGUAAUAGCUCGAGUCAUACUCAGUUGAUGAUAAUUUGGCUGGAGACUUAUACCCCUCUUCAUUGAUUUGUAGUGAGACCACAGAUAUGGAAGGAGUAGCCAUGGCAUUAGAUUAGUGUAUCUGUUGCUCUGAGGUAGAGACAUAGUUUGGGAUAGAUUAAUCUGUCUCAGAACAAAUUGAUCAACACUCUUAUGUACGUGCUUUAAGUUGUUGCUAUCCUAUUCAUGCUAUGCUAUUUUACCAAGUUCAAAAAUAUAUGUGAGUAUAUGUCUUUGUAAUACUGUAAGGGAACUAUGGUACUGUUUCUAUUGAGGUUUGCAUGUUGAACUGAAUACUGCAAAUUUCUGAUGUAAUACACAUUUGGCUUAAACUGAGACUUUUUCUGGUGGUGACCUGGAGUCAGUUCCCUGUCUGUAUGAGGAAAGUGGUCAUUUCAGUGUUCAAACUUCUGUCAGGACACGUAGAAAUACGAUGUAAAAAGGAAAACAGUAAAAUUAGAAUGAAACAGCAAUUUGAGAAGAACUUAUCAAAUCUCUAAACCCCACUAAACUCUUAGAUUUAGUAUAAGACCUCCUCUGGCAAUACCAGCAGUGUCUGUUGAACUUUGUGUUGAACUUUGUGCUGAUUAUUGAGCUAAGAUGCAUGAUUCAAGGUUCUUGUGAAAGAUGAUGUGCCCAAGAAAAUACAAGUGACAGUGCUGGAAGUAGUAUAGCUAAAUCAGCUUUGUAGCCAGGAUGAUGAUGUGUUCUUUUCAAUCUUACUGCUGAUUAAUUUGAUCAACAAAAAAUCAUAUAGUUUUCAGUCUGUGAGUCUGCAAAAAUGAAGGAUAGGCAGAAAGAAGGAAGAAAAAUAAUAAAUGUAAUGGUUAUAUCAGAAAAACCUCUUGCUGUUUUUGCCUUUGGAUAGUUGCCUUACAACUUUGUAACCACCUAUCACAUCAAAUUAAUUGUACAAAUUAACCUGCAGCACUAGAGGAUAUGGUUUAUUUCAAUUUGGAAAUGUGAUUUCCAUUAUUAUUCCAUUAUUAUACCACCCCAUUUUUGAUUUUGUGGUAACAAGUACAGGGCAAAAUUUUCAUUGAUAUUAUCAUGCUCGAAGUCACUCGUGCUCCACAUUAUUUUGUAGAAGCUGUUGGGUAUACUUACUUAGGACUUCUACUGGGACUUCAUUUCUGGAAAAAAUAUGAAUGUGCAGAAAUGAUGAAUUGCUGGUAUCUAGAUGCUACGGUGAUAGACUUCAUAAAGGUUUAUAUAAUUGCAAUGAUGAGCUCCCAUGUAUGAGGUGAUAAUAUUAUUUCCCUCUAAAUGGUGUGAAAAAUUAACUAUUUGCCUUUAAUGAACUGACUGUUUUCAAGUACUCACUCCUCAGUAGGACCUUACUUGACAACUUUUCUCUUGCAUAGCUUAAUCACAAGUCUAUGCCACUUUCUCCAGCAGGGAAAUACCUACACAAGUGAAUGCAAUACCAUGCAUCUGCACUGGUGAGUAUUUAUACAAAAGAAUAAAAAAUAAAAUAACUUAUUUUCUAAGUGAGAUGGGAUGAUGUGAUUAGUAUUCUCUUUCAAGUCCCUGAGCUAUCUAGCAUUGUUGAGCAUUGUGCUAUGUACACUAAUUAUGAUUUCUGAGAGGGAAGAGUGAAAAAGAAUGGAAUUCAAUAUCUUUUGUUUUAGACCAGCUGGCUGUGGUCAUGAAGCACAGUCAAGAGCAGGAGCUGUCACAGUAUCAGCGAGGGCUCUGUGCAUUUAUCAAAGUCCUGAAUUUUCUAGUGGCUGAUUCUAGCAUUUUCUGCAUUUUACUCCACUUAUGUCAGUAUUAGUCAUUCUUUUGCACUAAGGCUUCCUAACCCUGACUUUUGUUGUUGAACCGUGUGUUCUGGGGGCACAAAAUAUUAACUAUAAGAGCUUAAAAAAAAUUAGACAGAUAAACACCACUUAUGAGUGCUUAUUGUAAGGAGAUAUUAUGGCUUAAAAAAAAAAAUGUGUAUAAAGACAGCCAGAAAUCUAUUUUUAACUGUGGGCAGCACAUGAUAGUCACUUUAAGAACCAAAUUUGGGAAAGUUUUUGCUGGCACUGGAGUAAUGGCAGUCAUCUUUACAGCAGAAAAUUAAUGUGUGACUCUGGAAUCCUGUCUGGGUUAUGUGACAAAAGCUUGUGAGGCUGAUUGCACUGCUUUUCGUCCAUAAAACAUAACUUCUCUUUGAUUCUGAGAAAAUUUCUGACUCCCUGUUUGAUUAUAAGGUCCUGCACAAAUCCUCAAGAGUGGUAAGCAGAGGUCCCUGUAAGUUAGGUCUGUCAUAAAUUUCUUAGAACUGCUCUAUUAUGGAUAAUUCUCUUGAAGUCAGCUGUAAAGCUCAGCAGGUUCCUUCCUGAUAUCCUUCACAUUUGGAUAGUUAACUGAGCUGUUUGAACAACAGAAACUUUAUAAUGUUCAGCAGUGGGAAUCUUGCAGCUGAUCAACAUUACCUUCAUCAGUACUUGUCGUUCUAAAACUUGAAGGGUAAUGUUUCAGGAUGAAUAUAAUCUUCAAGCAGGAGAUUUAAAAUACACAGGAAAAUAAAGGCCUCAAUAAAUUUAUUAUGCAGCCUGUAACUCUCCUUGCGCUGUGUUGCUCAUGUACACUGCAUUGCUGUCUAAGAGGGAGUUUGUCAACCUUGUAUCUGUAUAAAAUAGGCUUCUCUUGAUUGCAAGGGGAAAACGAGUAAUGAACCCUCACGGGAACCAAUCCUCAACAUCCUGAGAAAUAGGAUGCAUAAAACAUUCAUGCUGAUCACAGCAGUCUUUUCCAGACAAAACUUAAUUUGUUUAGAAAUAGUGAAGUGAAAUAUGCUCUGGCUUCUUAUUCUUUGAUCAGUUCAUCUGAUGGUUAAAAAUGAGUCAAGGUCUAAUCCUUUCAGCGGAACUUAGAGGAGCAAUGUGGUCAGGGACUACUGAAACAGUGAUGGCCUUAUGCAGGACCACCCAAAAAUCAGACCCUGUGUCUGAGACAGUUGUCCAGAUGCUUCUUGAACUCUGGCAUGAGUGACCACUCCUCUGCAGUGCCUGUUCCAGUGCCUGACCACCCUCUGGGUGACGAAUAUUUUUCUGAUAUCAAGCCUGACCCUCCCCUGACUCAGCUCUACGGUGUUCCCCCAAGCGCUGUCAUUGUCACCAGAGGACUGAAAUCAGCAUUGCCACGAUGCUCACCUCAUGAGGACCUGUCCCAUUCACUAAGUAGUCUCCUUUGUUUACAGUCUGAUAGAUGUUUGGGACUCAGAUCAGUUUCCAAUGGAAAGCUUUAUAACUAUUUUUUUUUAUUUCAUAAUUGUUUCUCCCUGAAAAUAUGCAAAGUUUGGAAGUCUUUUUGUGAAUGAUUUCCUCUUUAUUAACAAAAACAAACAAACAAAGUCCUUCUUUCCUAAACAGUUACUGCAUUUCUACAAAAUAAAAAGAUGCUAAGUUGUUUUAUGUUUUUUUUCAGCAUUUCUCUCCGUAAGUUGUUCCAAAAGUAAUGCCUCCUAUUUACUUCCACGGUAACGACAAUAGAUACAAAAAGCACAAUGACACUAUUUGAUAGAACAAAUUCAAAAAAACACUAUUUUCCAUCAUAGUCACACCAUUAACUAUUUUGUAUGGAUGAUAGAGAUGCUCUUCAUUUCAUGAUGUGACAGCUAUGAAUGGCCAUCUGGAAUGUGGCUUGUCUUUCACAUUACUGUCACCACUGCCGAAGCACACCACCCACUGCCUCACUCUGCUCACAUCCGCUCUUUUUAUCCAGAAAUGUUCAGCAAGUGCCAAUGAAUGUCAACAGGUGCAUUUUUUUUCUGCAUGGAGGGAUUCAGUGGCACAUCUUUGCUUUAUAUGUGCUUUCAUACCAGAUGCCAUUUUAUCUGGUUGCCCCUCUGCUGCCAACUGUCACACGGCAACAGCAUGCAAUGGAAUAUUGGCAAGAAGGUUCAAUCUCUAAUGCCAUACCAACUUCCACCUAUGACUUUGUGGGCCAAUAUAUUAAAACAGGAAGCAUUACUUUUGAAGCAGCCUUCCUACUAUAAAGGCAAUAGUUACUGUUUCACAUAAUCUGAAACCAGGAAGAUCCUCUUAGGCAAAAAAAAAACAAAACUAUUACAAAUGAGUUCAAAACCUGGAAGAGUUUAAAGGGAAGUUUUACUUUAGAGGCUACUGAAUUUAGCAAAUAAGGAAUAUUACAGUGAUGAUUAUAAAAAAAAAUCCAAUGAUUACAGGGAAAUUUGUCCUCAUAUAUUUUUACAGAAUUUGAUUCAUAAAAAUUGAAUGCUUAAGCAUCCUCCAUCCCUCCAAUUGUUUUUGUCUAUGCUCUACUAGUAAAAAAAAUAUUAUUGUUAGAAAGAUUUAACACUACUUGAUAUUUAUUUAUUACCCAACAGCCAUGAAGGACUGUUUGAAAUUAAGAAGGGUUUGUAAAUCAUGAUGCAUUAUUUAAUAUCCUGAAAAAUAGUUGCAGAUGAUGAUUGUGAGAUAUUGUUAUUAUGACUAAACAUAACUAGAAUAAGAAGUGUGUUUUAAAAUGCAGCAAAAAGCAAUAUAUGCACACUAGUUAGAAAUACCAUAUUUCUUGAAGCAAUUUAACUUAGUUUUAAUGACCUAGAAAGCGAUUCUUGAAAUAUUUAUUCAUUAUUCUUAAGUUUUAGGAUGCAUGAAGACCUAAAGUACACAAAUAUAAUCUGACAGAAUACUGUAAGUUAAAAAAAAAAAAAAAAAAAAGCUAAUUUUCUCAAUGCCAAGAUCUCUCCUUAUAGCCCAGUUUUCUGCAGAUGAGUAUGUAAGUAAAUGCAUUGUUUUCCAUAAGAUUCAUACUGGUGAGGUUAAGAUGCACUAUUCUCAGGUCAGGGUAAUGUUUGUCUUCUGAAGAGAAGUGUUCAACAUUUAUUUAUUUAUUUAUUUACUUUUCUUACUUCUGUAACAGCAAGUGCAGUAAAUAUUGUGUUAUAUGAGAAUGACUGAUAGCAGAGAGACUGUUACAAGCCGUUCCUCUUAGUGCAAUGUAGGCUACUUUCUGUUAGGUAAGUAGAAUGCCUUUCAAGGUAAAAAAGUUGCAGUUUCUUUAAGUCUUUACUCUGAGAUAUAAACCUGUUCUUUAAUAAUAUAGUCAGUGUGUAGCCUUGUUAGCACAGCCUCCCAAGACAGUAUUUCUUUAUCCUAAUAAGGUGAAAGAACUUGUAGUAUAAUAACUCACUCUGCAACUAGGUUAACUUCAAUUUUUUAUUAAGACAGAGGCCAUUAAGCUGUAGUUGCAGUUAGAUACAGAAAAAAUCAGUGUUAACCAUAUCAAGAUUUUCUCUGACACCUUCCCUACAUUGCUUUACAUAUUUUUUAGUAAUACUUAAGAAAUAUUUCUCUCAAGUGUCAGCGUGAUCGCUUUCUUAUAACUAUUUUGUGCUAGAAUUACCUCGGCAAUGUAUGACUCUGCAAAUGAAAAAACUGAUGUACUGAUCAGCUUUAGUCAGCUACUAUAGCUCAGGUAAGCCAAUAGUUAAACACAUUUAUGCAUGAAUAACUAAUAAUUAAAAGAAAUUACAUGCAACCCUAAAAACUAUUUCUUAAUUAUAACUCAUUAAAAUAAAUUAUGGUAUAUUAUACCAAUUACAAUGCUGAAAAUAGAAUUUAGCAGCAGUUGUUUUGUCACUUUACCCUUCAUUUUAGCUUUUUAUGGCAGGUAUGUUUUGAAAAUAAUUUGUAAUGUAUAACGCCAUUUGUCAGAUGAUGUUACGUAUAACCAGCCAGCAGCUACACCUCCAUGCAAAAUUAUCUUUAGAGAGGCAUUGGGUCAAACAUUGAAACUUACACUCAUUAGAGCUAAUUGAAUGUUAUUGGCACGAUAUGUUUGAUGUAAUGCAAUGAUAUAAUUGCAUUGGUAUCUACUGUUAUAUUACUGUAGGCAGUAAUGUAUUAUUCCAGAGAGGUUGUGUUAAAAAAACUAAUAAUAAUAAUAAAAAAUUCAUUGAAACUAGAUGCAGACUAAAUAGAAAAUGCUUUAUUAUCAUUACUGUCAGGCUUCCCUCAUUCAGUGACUGGAGCUUUUACAAUAAUACCUUAAUAAGUAUAAAACUGCAGUGGAGUUUCUAAAUAGAGCAUAUUUGAAUGUUCUGUGUGCAUGUUACCUUUUCUAUAAGGUCAGCUUUUGGGAAACUCAGUAAUGUUCUUGAGCAUUCACUGAUUGCUUCACUUGAAUCCAAGGACACCCAGCAGUAAACAGCAGAGGACCCAGAGGAGAGCAAGCAAAGCUGAAUUAGGAGCAGUUUGAGCAUCUCCAGUUCCUGAAAGUUAUGGAUGCUCAAGACAUUCUGAAUUUAACUUAAUGAGAUUAGUCUUUUGCUUGAAUUCACUAAUCCGCAGUGACUACAAUAUAAAAUCUUGCAAUUCUGUUACAACAUACCACCUACUUGCUCUUUCUUGGCCUCACAAAUUGUUUCUCUGAGGGGCUGCUACGAAAGAAGAAUAUACUUUUAUACCAGGAACUACCAUUUAAGUUAUCUCCUUCCAUCCAUAAUGCUGUUUUACAGACUGAAAUAAGAAGAGCUGGUACUGUUAAAGGAGCUCUCUCAAUCCUUUUUACUGGUGUUUUCCUGGAAAAAAAAAGUCACAGUGUUUGUUUGUUUUACAGUAUAUUUUGUUUUAGUUUUACUUGUGUUCAGCAAAGAUUAUUGACACUGAAAAGUGAAAGCCUGAGAAGAAAUGGAGGAGCCCAGAAAAAAUACUGGAAAGAAAGAGAAAGAAGGAUUGAAAGAAAGUCAAGAGAGAAGUACGCUAAGAAGCUGAGCAGAGACUAUUUCUGAAAGAAUUUCCCUGUUUUUUCCUGCUAAAUGACGUUUUAAAUAAGAGGAACUAACCAAGUUGUUCUUCAGAACCCUCUGUUGCCUAUGUGAAAAAAGACAGAAAAGUAAAGAUGGCACAAUUUAUCACAUACCAAGGGAGAGUGUAUGGCAAACAGAGAAUUCAAGCUUCAGUUCCCAAAGAAGAGGGGCACCAAGAGAAUGGCCUGGUGGGAGCGCGUCUGUUAGCUGCGCCCAACUCACUGCAGCAUCAGAAACCGUUCACAGACACUCAGCCACUUCACUGGAAAGAAGUAGAUUGAACACAAGUAGCUUUGAGCUUUGCUCUUGUGAUUGAAGCCAGCUCACGUUUAGGUACCGCUGGACAAAACGGAACCGCGCGUCUCGAUAUCUGUCUCCCCUAGAGUAAGAAAUAGGUAGCAGUCCCUUAAUUCUUCUAACUUAGUUUAGAAUCAGUUAAUUAAUCAGUAGCUGUGACUAAUUACUCACUUCCAAUUAACCUGGAAACUGUUACAAAAUGAAGCCAGAGAACAUGACUUCCAUGGUAACUGGUAAGUUUCUGCAGUGAAUUGGUGACGCAACCUAUGUGAUAUUACAUAUCUUAUCUACGCUUGCCUUGACAAUAGGGAAGGUGAUUUAUUUUGUAGGUUUGUGUCGUGCAGCUUUAUUUAUUUGUUUAUUUAUUUUAUUGCUUAUAUAGUCCUUCUACCAACUGUGCUGUUGUAUUUCAAGGGGAGUUUAUGGUCUGUAUUUUUUUACUUGUUAGAAUACUAGCUUGAAAAAGUUAAUAAACCGUGCAUGGGUCCAGCGAUGUGACCAUUGACUAACUUGAACACUUUGCCUUGCUGAAGACUUGAAAAUCGCCAGGGAUACGAAUGCAUUGCUUGUACAAUGAAUACUUUUCCAAAGCUGAACAGAAUGUCAUCAAAAGAAAAGCUGACCAAAAACUACGUCAGUGCUCAUCUCUUAACUUAGAAAUAGCUUACAUUCCUGUAUCUAUGUGAUGUAAAACAAACUAACAAACAAAAAAAACAGAAAAUAAAACAAUGAAACAAU